rnacentral:lncRNA from 1 species
CUUAAGCUGUUCAAUUUGUGCUCGUAAAGAGAGGAAUCUCUGCCUUAUAAGAAUACUCAAGUAUAACUGAAGCAAAACAGAACAAACAAUGGCGGCCAUAGUUGUUAGUCUCCUUAUCUGCCUCGCUCUCGUGUUCACCACAGGACACCCACUCAAAGAAACACCAGAGAAUCAUCANAUCAGCGCGAGAACAUUUCGUCGGGGUAAAACCGUUGGCACAGUGACAAACGAAAACCCUUGCUUUAACGGCUGCGCCGGGGAUGCUUUUCAUUGCAUGUUUCUGUGUACAGACGCUGGAUUUCUUUACACUAACUGCAAACGACAAUGCACAGGAGGAUCAUUCGUAACUUGCUUGAAUUCCUGUCUCAUGUAACGUCCAUGCCGGUCUGUUUCCAUUGAUUCUUCCAAGCCCUCCACAGCUCUUUGCUACGUUUAAACAUUGUCAUUUGGUAUAUCAUUCCUACUUGAACGGCUAGGUUGGAAUGGGACGAGCUUGCGAUCGAGGCUCAUGCGGGAUGUGGGUGGAUUCUUUUGCAAUGCAAAUAAUCUCUAUAAUGCUGAAAACGUGCAUGAGCUGCGCAAGCUAGUUCCAGUCCAAUUCAGCUGCUAACACGAAUAUAGCUUACUCCACUUUUUUUCUCAAAAAUCUCAACUUGAAUCACAAAUGUAACAACACUAGCUCAUUGUAACAUAGAUCUUGUCGGAAGAGAUAUAGUGUUAUAUUUUUGGAUUGUAAAUUUACGAUUCAGUACAUUAUUUAUAUAGCAAUAAAAUCAAGAAAACGUAUUCUUGUCA